rnacentral:misc_RNA from 1 species
GAAAUGCAAUAAGUAAUGUGAAUUGCAGAAUUCAGUGAAUCAUCGAAUCUUUGAACGCACAUUGCGCCCGCCAGUAUUCUGGCGGGCAUGCCUGUUCGAGCGUCAUUUCAACCAUCAAGCCCCGGGCUUGUGUUGGGGACCUGCGGCUGCCGCAGGCCCUGAAAACCAGUGGCGGGCUCGCUGUCACACCGAGCGUAGUAGAUUCUCAUCUCGCUCAGGGCGUGCUGCGGGUUCCGGCCGUAAAACAGCCUUAUUUUACCCAAGGUUGACCUCGGAUCAGGUAGGAAGACCCGCUGAACUUAAGC